GAUGAACGCUGGCGGCGUGCCUAAUACAUGCAAGUCGAGCGACCAGACGAGGAGCUUGCUCCUCUGACGUUAGCGGCGGACGGGUGAGUAACACGUGGAUAACCUACCUAUAAGACUGGGAUAACUUCGGGAAACCGGAGCUAAUACCGGAUAAUAUAUUGAACCGCAUGGUUCAAUAGUGAAAGACGGUUUUGCUGUCACAUAUAGAUGGAUCCGCGCCGCCUUAGCUAGUUGGUAAGGUAACGGCUUACCAAGGCAACGAUGCGUAGCCGACCUGAGAGGAUGAUCGGCCACACUGGAACUGAGACACGGUCCAGACUCCUACGGGAGGCAGCAGUAGGGAAUCUUCCGCAAAGGGCGAAAGCCUGACGGAGCAACGCCGCGUGAGUGAUGAAGGUCUUCGGAUCGUAAAACUCUGUUAUUAGGGAAGAACAAAUGUGUAAGUAACUAUGCACGUCUUGACGGUACCUAAUCAGAAAGCCACGGCUAACUACGUG
rnacentral:rRNA from 1 species